UUUUAUUUUUAUUUUUUCUUGCCUUAAAGAUGGAUUUUUUGAAUUAAUUGCUCUGUUGAUUUUUUUAUUUGUCUUGUGUGAAUAAAUCCAUUUUUGUUUGGAUCUGUGGAUGGAUGCAUUGUUAUUUGAAAUGUUUGUAGAUGGAUUUGGAGGUGGAGGGAGACGACGAGGUGAAGGGUAGGCGGCAGCGCCGCUGGCCUCGCCGGUGAUGAGAGCGUCGGCGGCAGCAACAUAAUUUUAGUUGAAAAGAUUUUAUUUUAUUAACAAUAUUUAAAACUAAUUAACCAUAAAAUUAAAGAUGUGGGCCAUACAACUUAUCUCUUAAUAUAACUCUCCUUAAUACUCAUGCUGAAAAAAAACAUGCCAUUAAUACCGGGACGAAGAGAGUACUAUUUUACCCUUCCGUGCUUUUUGUCUUGGAAAGUCUUGGAAGGCAUCUAGCAAGUGUCGGGCUCCUAGUAAGCCAUGUGACCACAUUGUGUGGUCCAAAUUUGGACCUAUAUACUAUAAUUGGAGUGAUAACUACAGGAUCUAGCAAGUGUCGGGCUCCUAGUAAGCCAUGUGACCACAUUGUGUGGUCCAAAUUUGGACCUAUAUACUAUAAUUGGAGUGAUAACUACAGGAUCCACCUACUAUAUAUAUAUAUAUAGGGUGUGGUUCUAGAGAGAACUACAUUAUUUGUGAGAACGGGAGAACCAUCAAAUCUAAUGCAUCCACUGUAAAAAUUAAUGCAUUCGCUGUUAAAAUUAAUGCACUAAAAAAAUAAAAAAAAAAUGCUCCCUUCAGGAUUCGAACCCAGGAUCUGCAUUCAUCCAACAAGAUGAUGCAUCCACCGUAGAUCUUGAUGAUCGAAUGGCUCAAAAUGGUUCUCCGGUCUUCUUUUAUUUAUGGUUCUUUCUUGAACCUCUCCC
rnacentral:lncRNA from 1 species